AUUUCUAAGUUUGUCUGGCAGGGCAAAAAGCCCAGAAUUAAGUUUAAGAUAUUAACUGAUGCAAAACAAAGAGGGGGCUUUGCCCUGCCAGACUUAAAGUUGUAUUAUGAAGCCGCAGCGUUCUGCUGGCUAAAAGACUGGCUACUUCUUGAGGACACUGAUGUGUUGGAUCUGGAAGGGUUUAACAAUGCCUUUGGAUGGCAUGCAUAUUUAUGGUAUGACAAGGUUAAAGCAAAUAAGGCCUUUAAGAACCAUAUUGUCAGAAAAUCAUUGUUUAAUGUCUGGAUAAAAUAUAAAGACUUGCUGGAAAAUAAAACACCAAGGUGGCUUUCACCUCUGGAAGCUAAGGCCCGAAAAAGACCCAAUAUGGAGGCUAGAUGGCCAAAAUAUUGGGAAAUACUAGAAAAGGAUGGAGACAAUUGGAAAUUGCAGAGUUUGGAGAAAAUGAAAGACAAAGUGCGAGAUUGGUUACACUACGCUCAGAUUAAAGAAGUUUUUAAAAAUGAUAAGAAAUUAGGGUUCCAGGUGGAGAAAUCGAAACUAGAAACAGAAUUGUUAGAACCAAAGAUUAAGGUACUUUCAAGGAUGUAUAACUUGCUGUUGGAAUGGAAUACACAAGAUGAAACGGUUAAAUCGGCUAUGAUAAGGUGGGCACAGGACAUUGGGUAUAAUAUUAUGUUUGAGGACUGGGUAAGGUUGUGGAGUAAUGGAUUGAAAUUCACUGCAUGUAACGCUUUGAAAGAAAAUGUAAUGAAAAUGAUUUAUAGAUGGUAUAUGACCCCAGUCAAACUUGCAAAAAUUUACCACCUGUCUGAUAAUAAGUGUUGGAAAUGUAAAGAGUGUGAGGGAACGUUCUUCCACCUCUGGUGGACUUGCCCUAAAGUGAAGGCGUUCUGGGAAAUGAUUUAUAAUGAAUUGAAAAAGGUAUUUAAAUAUACCUUCACUAAGAAACCAGAGGCUUUCCUUUUGGGUAUUGUCGGCCAAGGGGUGGCAAAGAAGGACCAGACAUUUUUUAUGUAUGCAACAACAGCAGCAAGGAUACUUCUCGCAAAACAUUGGAAAACUCAAGAUCUACCCACACUGGAAGAAUGGCAGAUGCAACUGAUAGACUACAUGGAACUGGCUGAAAUGACCGGCAGAAUUCGUGACCUGGGAGAAGAGAGGAUGGAGGAGGAUUGGAAGAAAUUUAAGAACUAUCUACAAAAAUAUUGUGAUUUGAGUGAAUGCUAAAUAAGAUGCUAGAUUAAAAUAACUGAGCACCACUUAACUUAGAAGUUUUUAAGAAAACAAGUAAGACUGUGAAAGUUUAACUCUUUUUGAGAAUUAUAAGACUAUGAAAUAUUGAAGGGAUAUAAGAAUUCAAAUAAGAUGAUAAAUUGCUGACAAAAUGUUAUAACGAUGAAAGUGGGAGCGGGAGAUGUGAGGAAGUCCAAAGAAAAUGUGAAACUAUGUUAAGACAAAUGUUAUAUUGUUUAUUAUGUUUAUUCUUAUUGUAAAACCCAAUAAAUUGCUUU